UACAGAGGUCCCAAGCGUUGUUCGGAUUUACUGGGCGUAAAGGGUGCGUAGGUGGUGAGGUAAGUCUGAUGUGAAAUCUCCGAGCUUAACUCGGAAAUGGCAUUGGAAACUACCUUGCUAGAGGGUUGGAGGGGGGACUGGAAUUCCCGGUGUAGCGGUGAAAUGUGUAGAGAUCGGGAGGAACACCGGUGGCGAAGGCGGUCUUCUGGACGGUGACUGACGCUGAGGCGCGAAAGCGUGGGGAGCAAACGGG
rnacentral:rRNA from 1 species